ACAAAUACACUUGGAAAUCAAAGAGCCACUAACUUAGGGGCAUAAAAGUCUAGUCCCGGAAAGUAGAUGAGCUUUUGAGGGAUUCCCUCUUUCUUUUUUUAAGCCACAAGCCAACUUCAGUCCAUAAACCAAACUAAAGUCCUUAAAGCCAAUGAAGUUGUUAACAUUUCAUUAGACAAACGUAUAAUUACAAUCACUAGGUAUAUAAGUAAAGAGGACAAGGCACUGCCCCUGAAGGUUCAAAUACUUGAUAAACAAGGCAUACAAAGAGAUUAUCAUUUAAAACCGUACAAGGCAUUUCAUUUGGAAUAACCAUGAAGAUGGUUGAAAGAGAUCUGACACCUAAUGUCAUCAGUUAUAUGUUGCAAAGUUAUUGGAUGGAUGAAGCCAUGACGCUCCUAACAGAAACGCGUCAUUAAAACUCAGUUCUAGGCACCAUAACUUGUGAUUUUCUUCUUGAUGGCAUGUCCAAGUCAGGAAGAAGCAUGGAUGAACGGGACGGAGUUGAGGCUGUGCGUGCCAAUUCCACCACCUAAUUCCCUCAGUUGUAACUGCAAAAAGAGAUUACAAUCAUAGCAUUAGAGUUAAGAACCCGUAGUGAAAAUUCAGUCAUGACAAAAACUCAAAAAAAAAGCAUGAUGUGAAUUAAUAAUUAGAAGGAUUUCAAAAGAGACACAGUUGCAAACCAGAAGCCAUUCCUUUUACAGUUACACUCUUAAGGAAGAAGUGGCCUAUGCAAUUACAGAUUUCUAAUGAAGCAAUUAAGCAAACCAGCAAAUAGCCAAUUUCAGUUACGAACCAGCAAGGGGCAUAUAUGGGUUAUCAAUCAAAUCAUGAACAAGCCAUAAAGAGCAAAGGUAAUUCAGAAAUCAUAGGUCUUUCAGUUACAAAUUCCUAUCAACAGUCAGGGGCAAUUUUAAGGCCUCACUAAACCAUGAAAAUUUAAAAGAGGCAAAUCUGAAAGCCUCACCAUUUCAGUUACAAAUUAGCCAUAAUUGGCAGCAAUAAUAGGCAGCAAUAAUAGGCAGCAUUGAAGUGGAAUAAACCAAAAUAGAAUAAUCAGGAAACAAAAUGGUCAUCUUACGUUGGAUUGCAAUUGGCAACUCAAGAGGUUCCUAUGAACCCUCAAUCAGUAUAAAAGGAAUGGGAAGCAAGCAAAUAGGGGGGGAAUAGGGGAAAAAAUAUAAGAAAGAUCAAGCAGAUACACAUCAGUCCAAAUACACACAUACGGGGUGGCAUACCAUAGUUACGGACUACACAGUGAUAAAAAGCAGCAAGCAUAAACAUAGAAGUUUCAGAAAAGAAGAUAUAAGCAUACACAUAGCUCUAUCAUACAUACACACAUUUUUACUAAGCAUCACAUAUAGCGCAUAGAAUCCGGAAACAAUAACAAAACCACAAUCCAGAAUGCACACGCAGAGAUCCAACCAAAAACAUACAACAUCCGUAUCACUGAAUAAAGCAAUUCCGUAAGAAUCACAGGUCAUACCAGGUAAUAUUUUCUUAUUCAGCUUCCAAACUAGUUUUCUGUCCAUAUACCUAUUUUGUACUAUCACGUUCAAACAAUUAUAUAGAAACACAUUGGAUCAAAAAAAACAACAUAUCAUGAUAAUCUUAAAACAGUUUUGACUAGUUUAUGAAUGAUUGUUAGCCAAACCCUUUUGUCAUAAGCCUAUCUUCGAGCUACAUAAGCAAUAAAGAAUUAAGAUGACAUCGCAAUAUAUAACACGCUAGACUCUGCUAAAUGCUAAUCCUACGAUUAUCAAUCCGGUGUAUGUGGUCUUGUUGUUAUCAUUAUCACUCAUUAUACUAAGUUACGAAUCUGUAUUAAUCAUUGACAUCAAUAUGCGUUAUAUAAUGGAAUAGAAAACCUUUUUCAGUAACUUUGUUUCAAGAAAACCCAUCAAUCUUAGUCUUUUCAUUUAUGCAAUAUGUAGUGUUGAUAAUACUAAAAUGCGAAUACAAGAGCCUAAAAUAAAUAAAUUAGAAACAACAACACAUGGUUUGAUAUAGUGAGUUCGUUUCACAAAAUGAGAGCAACAUAGGCAAUAAAGCAGACAGUUAAGGUUUCAACAAAAAAGGGAGGCGAUUUGGUUCAUUACCAAAUUCUUUCGUCUCUGUCGAUCCCGUGAUUGAGAUAUUCAAUUCACAACCCGAUAAAAUAGAUGAGGUGAUGCAAGAA
rnacentral:lncRNA from 1 species